rnacentral:rRNA from 1 species
UCCGAACCCGGAAGCUAAGGCUCUCAGCGCCGAUGGUACUGCAGGGGGGACCCUGUGGGAGAGUAGGACACCGCCGGAC